rnacentral:rRNA from 1 species
GACGAACGCUGGCGGCGUGCCUAACACAUGCAAGUCGAGCGAAUGAAGUUCCUUCGGGAACGGAUUUAGCGGCGGACGGGUGAAUAACACGUGGGCAACCUGCCUCAUAGAGGGGAAUAGCCUUCCGAAAGGGAGAUUAAUACCGCAUAAGAUUGUAGUACCGCAUGGUACAGCAAUUAAAGGAGCAAUCCGCUAUGAGAUGGGCCCGCGGCGCAUUAGCUAGUUGGUGAGGUAACGGCUCACCAAGGCGACGAUGCGUAGCCGACCUGAGAGGGUGAUCGGCCACAUUGGGACUGAGACACGGCCCAGACUCCUACGGGAGGCAGCAGUGGGGAAUAUUGCACAAUGGGGGAAACCCUGAUGCAGCAACGCCGCGUGAGUGAUGACGGCCUUCGGGUUGUAAAGCUCUGUCUUCAGGGACGACAAUGACGGUACCUGAGGAGGAAGCCACGGCUAACUACGUGCCAGCCGCCGCGGUAAAAC